rnacentral:rRNA from 1 species
AUCAACUUUCGAUGGUAGGAUAGAGGCCUACCAUGGUGGUAACGGGUAACGGGGUGUUAGGGCACGACACCGGAGAGGGAGCCUGAGAAACGGCUACCACAUCCAAGGAUGGCAGCAGGCGCGCAAAUUACCCAAUCCCGACACGGGGAGGUAGUGACAAUAAAUAACAAUACGGGGUUCUUUCGGAUUUCGUAAUUGGAAUGAGUACAAUUUAAAUCUCUUAACGAGGAACAAUUGGAGGGCAAGUCUGGUGCCAGCAGCCGCGGUAAUUCCAGCUCCAAUAGCGUAUAUUAAAGUUGCUGCAGUUAAAAAGCUCGUAGUUGAAUUUCGGGACCAUCAUGUCGGUCGUGCCUCGGUACGUACUGGCAUUGUUGGUUUCUCCCUUCUGACGAACCAUGAUGUCAUUUAUUUGGUGUCGUGGGAAAUCAGGACUGUUACUUUGAAAAAAUUAGAGUGUUUAAAGCAGGCUCACGCUUGAAUACAUUAGCAUGGAAUAAUGAAAUAGGACGUUUGAUUCUAUUUUGUUGGUUUCUAGGAUCGACGUAAUGAUUAAUAGGGAUAGUUGGGGGCAUUAGUAUUCAAUUGUCAGAGGUGAAAUUCUUGGAUUUAUUGAAGACUAACUACUGCGAAAGCAUUUGCCAAGGAUGUUUUCAUUAAUCAAGAACGAAAGUUAGGGGAUCGAAGACGAUCAGAUACCGUCGUAGUCUUAACCAUAAACUAUGCCGACUAGGGAUCGGAUGAUGUUAAUUUUUUAAUGACUCAUUCGGCGCCUUACGGGAAACCAAAGUGUUUGGGUUC